rnacentral:rRNA from 1 species
UAGGGAAUCUUCCACAAUGGACGCAAGUCUGAUGGAGCAACGCCGCGUGAGUGAAGAAGGUUUUCGGACCGUAAAGCUCUGUUGUUGGUGAAGAAGGAUAGAGGUAGUAACUGGCCUUUAUUUGACGGUAAUCAACCAGAAAGUCACGGCUAACUACGUGCCAGCAGCCGCGGUAAUACGUAGGUGGCAAGCGUUGUCCGGAUUUAUUGGGCGUAAAGCGAGCGCAGGCGGAAGAAUAAGUCUGAUGUGAAAGCCCUCGGCUUAACCGAGGAAUUGCAUCGGAAACUGUUUUCUUGAGUGCAGAAGAGG